AGUCCCGACGCCUGGUAGGUUCUCCCUCCCCGACGUUCAGAGAACUUCCAUCCCAACGAGAACUGCAACAACCGUCUACUGAACACCCUCUCUGGGCGGGUGUUCACAUGCACUUACAGAUAUCUGAUUUUAACAAUUUCCAUACAGUGCAUUUCCACAAUACAGUGACCUGAAUUUGCUGGUGAGCCAAUACUUAAUCAGAUGAGCCUGGGAAAGGAUGCAGGGGUCAGCCUGAAACCUCCCCCGCUCUGCUUCAUGGGCCUUUCUGGGAGGAACAGAAGCUUGUGGUGAGACCCUGUUUCCAGGCAGAGAACUUCAUUGGAGACUUCGGCCUGCUUUUAGCAAAAUUGGAAGGUGCUGGAUUUCUUUCAGCUUGGCAAUAGAUGGCUCCCCCUGUAGGAACAAUUUGGAAUGCUGAAAAGAACACCCAAGUCAUGUAUUUGAAACCAUCUAAAUAAAUUUCCUUUAAAAUAGAAGACAUCACACAUGAUAAUUUGCUGAGAAUAUCUUUGUCUGCAGUGCUGGUUGGCAUAUGCAAGAUGAAAUAUACACUUAAAUUAUGGCUUGACAAGUUUUAUGUACC